rnacentral:rRNA from 1 species
GAUGAACGCUGGCGGCAUGCCUAAUACAUGCAAGUCGAGCGAACAGAUGAAGUGCUUGCACUUCUGACGUUAGCGGCGAACGGGUAAGUAACACGUAAGGGAUCUACCUAUAAGCGGGGGAUAACAUUCGGAAACGGGUGCUAAUACCGCAUAGUAUCUUCUUCCGCAUGGAAGAAGAUUGAAAGACGGCUCUGCUGUCACUUAUAGAUGACCUUGCGGUGCAUUAGUUAGUUGGUGGGGUAACGGCCUACCAAGACGAUGAUGCAUAGCCGACCUGAGAGGGUGAUCGGCCACAUUGGGACUGAGACACGGCCCAAACUCCUACGGGAGGCAGCAGUAGGGAAUCUUCCGCAAUGGGCGAAAGCCUGACGGAGCAAUGCCGCGUGAGUGAAGGAGGCCUUCGGGUCGUAAAACUCUGUUAUAAGAGAAGAACAAAUUGUAGAGUAACUGCUACAGUCUUGACGGUAUCUUAUCAGAAAGCCACGGCUAACUACGUGCCAGCCGCCGCGGUAA